rnacentral:rRNA from 1 species
AGUCGGUCCCAAGGGUUGGGCUGUUCGCCCAUUAAAGCGGUACGCGAGCUGGGUUCAGAACGUCGUGAGACAGUUCGGUCCCUAUCCGUCGCGGGCGCAGGAAAUUUGAGAGGAGCUGUCCUUAGUACGAGAGGACCGGGAUGGACGCACCGCUGGUGUACCAGUUGUUCUGCCAAGGGCAUCGCUGGGUAGCUAUGUGCGGACGGGAUAAGUGCUGAAAGCAUCUAAGCAUGAAGCCCCCCUCAAGAUGAGAUUUCCCAUUCCGCAAGGAAGUAAGAUCCCUGAAAGAUGAUCAGGUUGAUAGGUCUGAGGUGGAAGUGUGGCGACACAUGGAGCUGACAGAUACUAAUCGAUCGAGGACUUAACCAUUUU